ensembl:snRNA U2 U2 spliceosomal RNA
AUCGCUUCUCGGCCUUUUGGCUAAGAUCAAGUGUAAUCUAAGAAAGCUCCUCUCAGGACUGUGGAAAUCUAUGACUAGUUUAAAUCUAAAUAGAAAAUAUAUUUUUUUAAAUAAGUGGCACAUGUUUUGCUUCUCUCUUGUACCAGCAACUUAAUGUUU